GAUUAUCAAGAAUCUUUAUUUUACCUGAGAUGCUUUGUGACCUGUAGUUAUAACGUCGCACCAAAAGAGGAGAUGAAUCGAUUGUCAGCAGGCAGCUUGUCAGUUUAGAUUUGACUGUUUUUUUUUGUUGUUUUUUUCCACUUCCUUGUCACUGAGCUCUGCAAUCUGGCUUUCUCUCUCACUUCUACCAGUGGCCGUGUUUCUCCCAGCAGAUGGCGGAGCGAGGCAGGACUGUGAGGGUGAGUGGUCUGCCCGCCGACAUUGAGGAUGGCAGGCUGAAAGAUAAGCUAUUAAUCUACUUCCUGAGAAAAAGGAAUGGAGGAGGGGAAAUAGAUUCCGUCACCAUCGUCAAGGCAUUGCACGUCUGUGCCCUUAUCACCUUUGAGGACAUUGGAGUGGCACAGAGAGUUAUUCAACACAGCCGGCACAUUCUGGAAGUGGAUGGAAAGAGGCAUAAAGUCACUGUAACUGAGCACCAAGAGAGACUGGAUCCAGACGAGGUCAUCCUGAGUUUAUCAGCAACUGUCAACUAUAGCCAGCUUCCCGGGGGAAUGAUUGCAUUGACAAGCCUUCUCACGAGCCACCCAGAUAUCCAGAUAAACUACCGUGCUACUGAGGAACUGUGCACUUUGCAGGGGGCUUAUUCCAAAAUCCAAGCUGCCUUGGCACAACUACUCAGCUACCCUGGAGGCCCUCAAUCAGCAGGAGCGAAGGACCCAAGUCAACUUGCAACAAGUGACUCCUGCUCAAUUCAGAUGGCAUAUCAUGAGCCUAAUACGCAGGAAUCUGAAGAUAAAAGCAGGAAACCUUGUGAAAAAAGAAAACAGAGAGAGAAAGUUCAUCCAGUUGGCCCUUCUAAUGAACGCAACUUAAGCUCAUACAGACACUUGACAGAUGGAGGUUACGGCAGGGAAGAUACCGAGCAGACAGAGGGUGCAGCUCUGCAGCUUCCUGAGCAUCCUACCACACCAGAGGAGGACUUCUCACUCAUUGUAGAUGCAGACUUGUUCCAAUAUCUACAGAGAAAUUGCCAAAGGGAAUAUCAGAAGAUCCUCAGUCAGUACAGUGUGGAUGUGGUUGAUGUGACAAAUCAGGGGUUGACAACACUGUUUUUGCAGAUUGCAACAGGAGUGGGGGAAGCUGGCCGAGAUCAGGAGCGCAUGAGUCUGGCAAAAAAGUCACUACUAAGACUUUACCAGGAGAAUGAGACCAAGAUCCGUCGAGCCCAGCUCCCUAAAAACAUCCUGUCCCUAAAGGGUGGACUGGAAGCGGCGAUGGAGAACUUAAGUGUCAGACUUCCCAAGCUUCUUCUUAAUGAAGAUGAGCAAAAUAUUUACAUUGUCGGGAGCAGUAGUGAUGUGUCUGAGGCCAAGCAGUUUCUCCUCCUAAACCACAGAGAAGAGAAAGAGGAAUUAGCUAGUGUUCUUCGAUAUCCUUUAAAUGAUCCAGGUACGACAUCUCAUGCUGAUGUGCAGAUCCCCCCCUUCACUUCUUCUGCCACUGUAGAGCCAGUUGAGGAUUCAAUGGAUCAGCUGCUGAGGUCAGAGGAGGAUGAGAGGAGAGACGAAGGAGCCAGAAGGUAUAAACUAGCAGCUCGAUUUAAAGAUUCAGGACUUGCUGCGUUAGGCAAUCGGCCAACUGACUUCAGCUUAAAAGGGCUCUCGUCUCCCAGAAACAAGCACACAUUAGGCCCAUGUUAGGGCAUGAUGUGUUAUCAGAAGCAGCAGGUAUUCCCGUUGGAAGAGCACAAGCCCAAAACACUGGAGGGGACAUCUUGUUCAGGAGUGGAGAUGCUUUCACUAUAACGGCCUCUGUGAGGAACAAAACAUCCUUGGACUCGCAUUUAACCGAUACUCGACCCAAGAGUUUUACAGCCCCACUUGCACUGCUCAGUCUAGUUUGUCAGAAAGUUCUCCACGUCCACCUGCUGGGUCCGGGUCCAACCUAAGGCGAACCAGUAGUUUCUCCGGAAUGCCUCAGCAGAAGGCCCAAAUUGUAGAACAGAAGAGUCAGGAUGACUCCGGCCAGACCAGAGCAAGAUCAUCUAGCUUCAGUCACCGAAAUGGUAGGGACAAGAAAGAAGUCUAUACUGCCGAGAUUACAGUUUCCCCUGCGAUGUGGCAGCACAUAAAAGAAGCCUACAGUGACCGAGUGCACGACCUCACCUCUGAUGUUCAGAUGAAAGACAGGGACUCAAAGGAUAACUGAUUUGACCGUCACCUUAAGAGGGGCAAACUGGUCCACAGUGAGUUCAUGUCAGAAAGGCUUGCAGAAGCUGGUUGAUUCGGUAAGUGUGGACUUUACUCUGCAGGAGCUGAAAUUGUCAGAGCUGGGUAUUACGGACAGAGCUGAUGAGAAUCUACAGGCUUGUUGUGCUGAGGUGCGUAGUCAGUUCAAGAAGGUAACCAUCCAUGUUUUAGAUACCAGCUUAUUUCUCCUUGGUCCUAAAAGGUUGUGUUCUCAGGUAGAUUCUUCACUGCGGGAGAUAUUUCUGGAGUUUUAGCUCCUAAUCUGAACAACAUGACUUAAGUAGUGCCUCUGCCUACAAGUCCAAUCAAUAUCCGUUUGUACAAAUGAAUGAGGACAAGGGUGCUAGUCUGCAGGGUACCAGUAAACCACAAGUAAUGCUAGAGAGCCCAACAAGUCCAGUUGAUGGGGCAGUUAUUAGUCAAGAAAGGAGAUCAGACCAUAGAAGUGACGUCCAAGAGACAGAACUUAUGAAUGGGUCUGUCACUAAACCCUCUGUGAAGAAAGAUCCUGUCAUUAAGGAGAAAUUGAAGCUUGUAGGUACAGCGACAAUAGAGGGACAGAGUACAGGAGAUGAUAGUAGUGUGAGUCGUGUGAAUGAUGUGGCGACAAAAACCAGUUCUGAUAAAGACAAGAGAGAGAGACCCACAGAUUUAACCCGAAGGGACAGUGUACAGCAAAGCCGAACAGAGAUCCAUGACACCCCACAGGAAUCCAGGUCUGCUGUUGGAGGUCUGUGCAUCUGUGUGUGUGGAGAGCGUGACAAGUUGAUGAAGAGAACCAAGUGUGGAGCAACCUUCUGCUCAAAGUGCCUGGACAUAGAACAUGCGCAGUGUAGUGUUUGCGAUGAGGCAGAGCAGACACCGCAGGGCAUCCAGGGCAAAAUGAAAUACUCCAAAAUAUACAUCAGAGUUCCAGGUCACCACAAAGACUCUGCAAUCAAGGUCACUUACAAGAUUCCUGAUGGCGUGCAAGGGGAGGGUCACCCUUCUCCAGGAAAACCCUUUAAAGGAGGGCUGUUUGAAGCUUUCUUCCCUGACUGCGAGGAGACAAGGAGGCAGUUGCCCAGGCUGGACAAAGCCUUUAAGAAAGGACUCACCUUCACAGUGAUUGACAGAGAAACAGGGGCCAAAGUCGAGUGGGACUGCAUCCCACACAAGACCUCCCUACAGGGAGGCAAAGCAGGGAGUGGUUAUCCAGAUUCCUUUUACUUGACUCGUCUGUCUAAGGUGUUGACCUCCCAUGGUAUCGAGGAGCCAACCACCAGAUAUUUAGAAUAAAAGCAACCUGAGGAGGAUAUUUGUGUGGUGAGGUGAUUUCAUGUGUUUACUUUUUUUUUUUUUUAAAUUACAGCCUUUUAAACCAACUCUCUAUGGUGAUAAGAACCAGGUUGCAUUGCUUUGUUUGACCAAUUGUAUGAUGUCUGAUGUAUAUAUUUUCAUAUAAAGGUUUUAAACCUGUCAUUGUAGUUGUUUCAGACUUAUGCAGGUUUGUUUUGUCUAUAAAAAACAUACUUUUCUGUGUGUUCAAAGCACUGUUAAGAUUAAUAUUUUUACUGUGCUCUUAAGGGCAAAGGAUGACCAAGAUUAGGGUAAAAAAAUAAUUUCUUAGUAGAAGAGCGAAAGUAAGUGAAAUAAAUUACUUUUUUAAUGUC